UACGGGGGGGGCAAGCGUUGUUCGGAAUUACUGGGCGUAAAGGGCUCGUAGGUGGCCAACUAAGUCAGACGUGAAAUCCCUCGGCUUAACCGGGGAACUGCGUCUGAUACUGGAUGGCUUGAGGUUGGGAGAGGGAUGCGGAAUUCCAGGUGUAGCGGUGAAAUGCGUAGAGAUGUGGAGGAACACCGAUGGCGAAGGCAGCCUUCUGGGCCAAUACUGACGCUCAUGCACGAAAGCGUGGGGAGCAAACAGG
rnacentral:rRNA from 1 species